UUUUAUUGAAGCUUCGGCGGAUAUAGCUGGUUUCUAGUCCUUAACGGGUGAGUAACGCGUGGGUAACCUGCCCUAUACAGGGGGAUAACAACCAGAAAUGGUUGCUAAUACCGCAUAAGCGCACAGGACCGCAUGGUCCGGUGUGAAAAACUCCGGUGGUAUAGGAUGGAUCCGCGUUGGAUUAGCCAGUUGGCAGGGUAACGGCCUACCAAAGCGACGAUCCAUAGCCGGCCUGAGAGGGUGAACGGCCACAUUGGGACUGAGACACGGCCCAGACUCCUACGGGAGGCAGCAGUGGGGAAUAUUGCACAAUGGGGGAAACCCUGAUGCAGCGACGCCGCGUGAAGGAAGAAGUAUCUCGGUAUGUAAACUUCUAUCAGCAGGGAAGAUAGUGACGGUACCUGACUAAGAAGCCCCGGCUAACUACGUGCCAGCAGCCGCGGUAAUACGUAGGGGGCAAGCGUUAUCCGGAUUUACUGGGUGUAAAGGGAGCGUAGACGGAUUAGCAAGUCUGAUGUGAAAGGCAGGGGCUCAACCCCUGGACUGCAUUGGAAACUGCCAGUCUUGAGUGCCGGAGAGGUAAGCGGAAUUCCUAGUGUAGCGGUGAAAUGCGUAGAUAUUAGGAGGAACACCAGUGGCGAAGGCGGCUUACUGGACGGCAACUGACGUUGAGGCUCGAAAGCGUGGGGAGCAAACAGGAUUAGAUACCCU
rnacentral:rRNA from 1 species